rnacentral:rRNA from 1 species
UACGUAGGGUGCAAGCGUUGUCCGGAAUUAUUGGGCGUAAAGAGCUCGUAGGCGGCCUGUCACGUCGGCUGUGAAAACUCGGGGCUCAACUCCGAGCUUGCAGUCGAUACGGGCAGGCUAGAGUUCGGCAGGGGAGACUGGAAUUCCUGGUGUAGCGGUGAAAUGCGCAGAUAUCAGGAGGAACACCGGUGGCGAAGGCGGGUCUCUGGGCCGAUACUGACACUGAGGAGCGAAAGCGUGGGGAGCGAACAGG